CUUCCUUGGCGCGUAGAGCCGGGCGCCCGAGGCUCCGUCCAAUCCGCUCCUCCUCUGCCUCAGGGAGCGUUUUCGCUCUCAGCCAAUGGGCGUCGCUCCGCUGUCUCCGUCCCGCCUUCCCUCGCAGAGGCGUCUUCAUUCCUGGCGAGCGGCGGCCGGAGGAGGAGGAGGAGGAGGAGGACGGAGGCAGCUUCGGCCGUCAUGAGCAGCCGGGCUCCGCGGGGCUCGGCUCCGGCCGGGCUGCCGGCGUGGAAGCAGGCCAUCCUGGAGCGGAAGCGGGCCAAACUGGCGUCCGGCGUCGGGCUCUUCAGGGGCUCCCCUCCGCGCUCUCCGCCUGGAGCCGGAGGGAAGGAGCCGCCGGUGCCUCCGAGGCCGGUGGAGGGGGAGCCGGAGGGGGAGCGGCUGGUGGUGGCGGAGAGCCUGGGCCCGCUGCGGGAGAACCCCUUCAUGCGCCUGGAGAGCGAGCGCCGCCGCCGGAGGGGCAGGAGGCGGGCCCCGGCCGUGGCCCCCGAGGCGCCCUCCUCUCCCCAGCCGCCGCCUCCGCCGCCCUCCAGGCCCCCCGCCGCCGCCCCGGAGCCCCCCGCCCUGACGCAGCUGCUCGAGCUCUACAGCUCCAUGCCGGGCAUCCGCACCAUCCGCGCCGACAACAUCCUCAUCAUCGAGUCCCGCGGAGGGGAUGGCGCCAAGGGACACCACCAGCCCCGCCGCAAAGGGCCGCCCUCCGCUUCCUCCGCGGAGCCCCUGCGCCGCCUCCUCUCCCAGGCAGGGGCCCCCCUCACCGAGAUCCGGGCCACGGAGGUGGUCAUCUACGAGCCCCAGCCCCCGCAGGAGGCACCCAGGGCCACCGCUCCGGACGCAGAGCAGGAGGACAAGGAGGCAGCCCUGGCUGAAGCGGGGAGGGUCAGCCGGCUGAUGAAGAAGUUCGAUACCCAGAAGCCCCCCGGAGGAGGAGGCAGCAGCGGCAGCAGCAGCAUUGGCGCAGGGAGAGGCAGGUGGCGAGGCGGAGAGGCCCCUCGGCCAGAGGCCUCGCAAGCGGCGGACGCAGUGCCAAACGCCAGCCCCCGGCUGGAGGGGACCUCCUUGGCCGCUAAGGCCGCCAGCACCACCCGCCCCUUCCCUCCGUGCAGCAUCCUCCUCGGCGGUGGCGGCUUCGUGCGGAAGAUCGGAGCCAACUCCUUCACGGUGAACCCGCGGGGGAGACGCUUCCCCGGCCACACUGCUCCUGGUCCCCCGUCUGCUGGCCCUGCUCCGCCGCUGCUCAGCAAUGGCCCCGUGGGGACAGAGGGGGCCCAAAACCCGCGGGGGCCGCCUGACGCCACCGACCCCAAGCCAGUGCCAUCGCCAAGUGCCGCUGUGGCUUCGCCUCCCGCCCCGGCCAGUUCGCAGAAGCCAAAGUCCGAGGAGACCCUUGAGAGCCCCUCUCCGCUGCCUCUGCCGCCCCAGCCACGCAGUGCCAGUCCAGACAGCAGUGCCACGGCUGGCUUGCCCCGGCCCCUGCAGCCCUUCGGCUCGGGCGGCACGGCCUUCGAGAUCCGCCCGGCCCCCAAGCCGGACCUGGCCGCCAUCCCUGCGCACGACCUCCAGGCCCAGGCCCUGGCCAGCCUGCGCCUCAACUCCCGCAACUCCUUUCUCUUUGUGCCCCACCGAAAGGGGGAGGCUCCCAGUGCCCUGGAGCCCAUAGAAGUCCUGCCUGCUUUACCCGGAGCGGUCCCUGAGAAGCAUCCUGAGAUGCCGGUGCCUGUCACUUUCAUUGACGAGGAUUGGGGGGAGCCGGAGCCUGGCCUCUUGCCCCCCUUGAGGGUUCUGAGUCCGAGGCUGGAAGGCUUCGACGUGCCCCACGAUGGUAACCUGGCUCUGGAGAUGGAGGACUCCUCUGUGCCCAUGUACAGGAGCCACACCUUUACCAUUGUGCCCAAAAGGAAGCCCCCCGCAGCCGGGCUGGAGACCUUCAAUAGAGCUUGGGUACUAGAGGAGGACGAUGAAGAGGAAGAGGUCCGAGCCAAAGCCAGGACUGGCGUGCCCCACGAGGAGCUGGGCCAUCUCCUCAAGAAGCGCUACCCCACCGUCAAUGAGAUCGAAGUGAUCGGGGGCUACCUCUCCCUUGAUAAGUCCUGCAUGAGUAAAUCAGGCUCCCAGCGCAAGAAGGUAACCGGACAGCCUUCCUUGUGGUCAGCCAUUUUGCUGACCCAGCUGGACUCCAAGGGAGGGCAGAAGGCAAGCCUUUCUCCUCUGCCAACCUUGAUGAAUAUAAACAGCCCUGUGUCUUCUGUAAAUUAUCUACUUCACACUCUCUCAGUCUCUGGCAUUGUGGGGGACAUUUUUAUUUUUGCAGUGGAGUGGCUUGUGCCCAAGUGUCCAGUGAACAGACUGUGCUACUUGCAGUCAUAACCUCCUGGCAUAAACACACCUGAAGUCGAUGAAGGGUUGGAGCGUGUGUGUGCUUGUGUGCGGGGGAAUUCUCUUGCGUGUGGGACAGGAGCAAUGUGUUCCUACAUUUCCUUGCUUGCAGUGCCUAAGGAACAGGUUUCCUCUCGCCUGCCCUGGUUCCAUCUUGGCAGGCAACGGUUUCUGGUGAAGGUUCUGCCUAGCUGACUUCCUUCAUCUGUCUCAGGAAUAGUUCCUGCCCAUCCAACCUGUAGCCUCCUGGCGCAAAGGAGCAUUUCUGAGAUCAAAGCUUGUGGCUGGUGCUUUCUUUAGGCACUGGUUUGGAAAAGCAAGCCUUCAUGUUGGGACAGCUGCAUGUGCUUCUUUGGGCCAGAAAGUGAGGUGCUGUGCAAAAGCAAUUGAGCAGUGGGAGUGUUGUGUUUAUGGGGCGAAAGGAAUCCCUUCUUGUGGUAACAAAAUGAGUCCCAACAUGCACUGCCCAGGGACUGCUGGCAUAGCAGAGGAGCUCUCCUGUGCCAGAUGCUUUCCCUUGAAGGGCACUGAGCCACCAGUGUGGCUGCUCUAUAUUUAUCAAGUUAGCAGGGACCUGGUGGCUGUAGCAAGCCAUAGUUGGCUACCUGAGAUUGUCAUGACUGACUCUGGCUGGAGCGUAGCUGCUUCUUUGCCCUUUGGUGCCCAACAUGAGACUGUAGAGCUCCUUCCUGAGCAUAGUCUGUCUUUCUCAUUGGACCAUUAAAAUCCUCCAUCAAACUCACAAUUCCCCAAGUGCUAAGAUGUGUACGCUUUCUGUCUAUAAACAGCCAGUGAUCCUUAGAGGGGCAUUUGCUUAAUCUAUCAUCAGGCGGCUAAUAAGUGGCUUUCUCAGAGCCUUCCAAGCCUUUGUAGUAGCGCAGGGCUUCCCUGUGGCCACAGGCAUGAGGCUGUCAGCAUGCCAGGGGUGGGUGGGGAGACUGACAAUGGGGCACAGUCCUUUUCACAGAAAGAGCCAUUGCUGGGCUGGGAAGCUUUGGGAUGUGUUUUGGUCUCAGAUGUUGCCAGAGCGCAUCCCUGUGAUGGUGCUUGUGAAGGGAGGGUGAAGCCAAUCAGCUGGGCUCUGCCUUGGGCUGAAUCAGAGAAGGUGGGGUUCCACUGCAUCCCACAAACUACAGCUUCCAGAGCUGCUGGGUGAUUUUGGCGGAGGCUGGAGCUGCUUCUCUCUGAGCUCAUUACCCCAGGUCUACCUCCUUUGUCUGAGUAGAGAAGUAAAGCCGGCCUGCUUGCUCUUUCCUUUAGUUCUUUUCCCUGUAAGAAAAGAGUGAAAGCUAAGGCACUGGUGAACAAACUUCAGCCAGAGUAAGCAAGAGUGUUCAGCCCCAUGUAGGAUUUCUUCCAACGCUGAUGAGAAGGAGAAAAGUGGAGGCUGUUGCUUGCUCUACUUCCAUGUCCUGGGAGGGCACAUGCUUAUGGUCUGUGCUUUUCUAGGACUUGUGCAUCUUUGGAUGGGAUUUCCAAGGGAAGGAGGAAGAGAGAGAAAAUGGUUUCCUCCUCAUCCUAGUGUUUGACUUUCAGAUUUGAUUGCCAGUGGCUGUGGUGCAGUUGUAUUCCAAAUGUUGUCCCGAUAGAGCUAGCAAGGGAGUCACAGCCAAGUCUCUGUAGCUGGAAGACAGAAGCAUAUCUGCUAGUUUUAUGGAGACCUUAAUACCCUCAAGGCCCCAGAGCCUCUCUGAUCUUGGAAGCUAAACAGGCUCAUGCUUGGUUAGCACUUGGAUGGGAGACCGCCAACUCAUCCCAGGUGCUGUGGACUACAUUUCAGGGGAAGGAAUGGAUAAGACUACCUUGAGGAUUCCUGUGAAGUUGAUGGGGUACCCAUAAGUCAACAGGCGACUUGAAGGCAUACCUCCCCACCCAAAGUUUUGGCUUAGUUCUCUUCUAUGCUUCCCCAAGUGCUGCAAGGUUACAGCUGCUCAGAAACUGGCCCAGCUGGCACCCGAGAGCUUUAUUAUUCUUAACCAGAAAGGAGCGCAUGCAGUGCCAAGCGAUGAAGAUUUCUUUCAAUGAGACCAGCCUGCAAACAAUGUUUGAGUAUCCCUCUGAGAGUUCUUUGGUGGAGGAGGAAGAGGAGGAAGAAGAAGAAUAUGCCACAGAGGUGGAUGAGACACC